AGGACAUGUCACAGGGGUGUGAUGACUUAUUAUUCUUGGAUUCUAUUUCCGCCUCCUCAGUUCUGCUCAUUCCCCACCACUCACACUGAGAUGGAUGGACACCUGAAAUCCUCCCCUUCCUGGGCAGAAAAGCCCAGAAUAAAUCACCUCCAUCGUUACUGGCAGGGAAGGAUGAGCAGGUACUCUACAUUCUCACCCGAACAACUGCUCAAUUUCAAGAGGACGAGAGAUGCAGAGGGUGAAAGAGAUACAGUCCUUGUGAAAGAGAUACCGUCCUUGAAACGAUGGCUGCAAUGAUGUGUGUCUGUGAGACAAAGCCUACCUUGAGGGAUAUCGUAACAGCAGGAACGCAGGCACUGCCAUGCAGUGACAAAGGGUCAACCGUGCUAAGAUGGUCCAACUGAGGGCUCUAUGCUGAGGGGUACUGAGGCACCCAUCAGCCACCCGGAUGACCUCUCUAGAAGUUUCCUGCCUGCCUGGGGUCUGCGUUUGGGACAUCAGAAGAGGCUAGCCGGUAUGAUGAAGCCAGAGGACUGCUAUCUGCUCCAGCUCUUUUAAGCUGGGUCACACGAGGUUGCGACUAGGAAAUCAAAAUAUUUUAAAAGAUUUUAUGUGCCUAGGGAAAAUGUUGAAGGGUUGGAGAAUGGGAACCAGGCAGAAGGAAGAGAAUAGACCAAGUGAAUGAACAGCUGCAUUGAUGGUGUCAUGCUCAGGGCUUUGGGAUAUAUGAUUUAAGAUGCACCUUCGAGAGACUGGGAAUGUUGAUAAUGAAUGGGACGCAGCUGACCAGGAGGAGUAAGAAUCUACACCAAAGCAUGCAGCAUGGGAAAUAAGCACAAGGAGACAGAAACUGGGGUGCAAUUAGGAAACUAUGAUCUAAUUGGUAUCACAGAAACAUGGUGGGGAUGAAUCACACAACUGGAAUACUUCGACAGAGUGGACAGGUAAGACCAGAGGAGUGGGGGAGUUGCCCUCUGUGUUAAGAAGUGGAUAGACUGUGAAGAGCUGCCUAUGAAAAACAGUCAUGACCAGCUGAGAGUGUGGGGGUUAAAAUUAAGGACCAGACAAAUAAAGGGCAUCUGGUGGCUGGGAUCUACUACA
rnacentral:lncRNA from 1 species